GGGCGGUUAGCUCAGCGGUAGAGCAUCUCUUUUACACCGAGAGGGCCGCAGGUUCGAUCCCUGCACCGCCCA
rnacentral:tRNA from 1 species